rnacentral:misc_RNA from 1 species
AAGUCGUAACAAGGUUUCCGUAGGUGAACCUGCGGAAGGAUCAUUAUUGAAUAUUCUUGAUGGGUUGUAGCUGGCUCUUCGGGGCAUGUGCACGCCUGUCUUGACUUUAUUCAUCCACCUGUGCACCUUUUGUAGUCUUGGGGGUUGAGAGCGGUCAAUAAUCGGAUGACCAUUUGGUCACUCCGGGUGUGAGGAAUGCUGAGUGCGAAAGCAUACAGCUCUUCUCAAAGUGACUUGUAAUCCUCUCCUUCAAGUACUAUGUAUUCAUAUACCCAUAGUAUGUUGUAGAAUGUGAUCAAUGGGCCUAAGUGCCUAUAACAAUCAUAUACAACUUUCAGCAACGGAUCUCUUGGCUCUC